GAAAUGCGAUAAGUAGUGUGAAUUGCAGAAUUCAGUGAAUCAUCGAAUCUUUGAACGCACAUUGCGCCCCUUGGUAUUCCAUGGGGCAUGCCUGUUCGAGCGUCAUUUGUACCCUCAAGCUCUGCUUGGUGUUGGGUGUUUGUCCCCGUCUCCGCGCGUGGACUCGCCCCAAAGUGAUUGGCAGCCGGCGUACUGGUCCCGGAGCGCAGCACAUGUCGCGCAAACGAGUGCCUUGGUACGGCGGAGUCCAUAAGCCCCUCUCUCACGCUCUUGACCUCGGAUCAGGUAGGGAUACCCGCUGAACUUAAGC
rnacentral:misc_RNA from 1 species